ensembl:lincRNA B930082K07Rik RIKEN cDNA B930082K07 gene
AGUAAUGCAGCCCAUCACCUAGGACAAAGACGCCAGUCAGAGAGGACAAGACUACUAUCGGAAAGGAAGAAAAAUCAGGAAGUCCCAACUCACGUUAUUUGCAGCUCGGCCAGAAACGGAGCGAUAUUUUCCGGGAAUCAUGGCAGGAGACAGUCCAGGAUGUUCAAUCCUCCUUCGAGGCCGCUUGAAAACAGCGGGAGGAUCCGGAGGAGGAUAAGACGAGGAAGAGGGAGGACACAUCGGUGGCUAUGGCAACCAUGACUUCCGGUCCUUUCCUCUUUAGGACCCGCCUCAACACUGCCCGCGGGAAGUUUGAUUCCCUCUGCCUGCUGCUGCCUGUUUUCCUGGCAAGAUCGCAGGGAAGAGCUGGAGGAAGGUGCUCAUAACCUUCCCAUUUAAUUUGGCCCUUCCACUAAGCCGAGACAAGGAAAGAUACAAUCCGACCUGGAGAUAGUGAAGGGAAGUCAGCUUUCCUGAGGCCCCUGCGGGCAGAGGAACGGAGUGCGCCUGACAAUCGAUCUGUCCAAAAAAAAAAGACUAAAGCUGUGAAGCUACUACUGAAGACAAGUCUUGCUAAUAACCCCUUCCCUUCCCUAAGCUUCUUUUGACUGAUACUGGCUGCCUUCAAGUUCAUGUUCCUGGCAAGCUAAACAAACUUCCAGUCAUCUCCUCACUGCAUACCUUUCUGCCCCCACCCCACCCCCAAAUACUGAUUACGUAUUCCUUGCAUCGAAUUAUCACUACUUGCUCUCUUAAAAACUUCCAAGCCCUCUUUGGGACAAUCCAGCUUCCACCCUAUGACCAUUAUGUGGAUUAAACAGUGGCUCUAUGACAGUGCAGAAGGAAUGUUUAGUUCUAAAUCUGAGAAAAGGUUGCCAAGAAGUUAAGUGGUCUGUAACUGACAUUUUGACUUUGAAUUGUGAGACUUGUAUAGAACGACAGGGCUGAAGGCAACCUUAUUUCUCAACUAGUCCAAACCUAUCCAUUUUAUGUGAGGAGACACAUCCGAAAAUUAACUUCUUGAAGGGCCUGGAAUUCUUAUUAUACCUCCAGUCAAUAUUCCAGUCAAUAUUCUUUUUGUAAUACUAACCUGCUUCCCACAUCUGGGUGGAUGCCUAAGACCCUUCCUUUAGUGAUAUUCUAUCAUCAUUUGGAAUGCAAACAUAUAAUUUUUGGAUCAAAAUUAUGAACACAACUUACACAUCCUUGCAUGAUUUUUCUCCUUUCCCUACCAUCCUAUUAAUACCACUGUCCUGAAGAGUUCAUACACAUAAUGCUGAUCUUUUGGUUCCUCAGCAUUCCUCUUUUUUGAGACUGCUCACCUGUUCCCGGCAGUAACCAGAGUUAUUCCUUUUCCCAUUUUCUGGCACCAUCAAUAAAGUCCUGUCCCUUUUUUAAAGCAAUAAGCUCAAAUAUAAUUUCUCCUGAUCCCUGACUUACAUAUUAUGUUUUUAAAAAUAUUUAUCUUUAUGUGUGGGGGGUGGAGUGUGGAGGUUAGCUAAGGUAUGAAAUCAUGGUGGUUACAAGAAUAAACUUGGUGGCCAACUCCUGGGUUUCAGUUAUGGUUCUGCCAAUAAUUAAGCAUGCUUCCUAUGCCCAGGUUCCUCAUCUAUAAUAGAAAGAUGUUAUCGCAUCUCGGCCAAAGCCUUUCCAGAGCUGUAGAGAGUUAGUUACUUGGAGUAAUGUCUGAGGCACAAUACUUACCAUAUUAAUUAAGCAUUGAUUGUCAUCACAGUCAACCCUUGGCCCAUGAAUUUUGCUUCUGAAGCCUGUGUUCAGCCUGUCCUCUCUUCACUAACUCAUUUUCAGGCAAUGUCUUGAAUGCUAAAAACAGGGAAGCUCGCAGGGACACAGAUGUGGUGCUGAGCUGAAGCUUGGGGGAAGAACUGGGCAGCCAAGUCAGCAGUGUGGAGCUGCAUGAGAAUGUGGGUGUUAGUUCAUGCUUGUUGCAGCUGAAGCUCGGGGCAAUUAUCUAUCUGAUACAAUCUUUGAUGCAGUGCUCUCAGCAGGCCAACUGUGACAGCUGAUUUGUCUGUCCGUUUGACUAGACCUAUAACCAACUUAAAUGGUCGUCAUCAGGAACUCCUUUGAGAAAAGUUCUCCAUCAGAUCAUUUGAAGCAGUAAGAGCCCACCCUCAAUCUGAGUGGCACCUUCUGAUGGCAGCCCAGGUGAAUGGAGAUUGAAAGUGGAAACAUUGCUUUCUGCCUGCUUGCCAUUUUUUUUUCCCGGCGAGUGCAUCUGUCUUACUGCAUUUCUUAUCCAACAACAGAGUAAGUUUCUUUGGGCUUCCAGCAUGUUCUGAAGACCAGCAGCUAUCCAAGAAUACUCUUGGCCUUAAGUGCCAGAUUGGAACUACAGAGACAUCCAGACUGAGUCACUAGCAGAUUCUCAGCCUCUCUGAUGUGAGAUGAUCACUGUUGAAUUACCCAGACCUAUAAUAAUCCUAUCCUAUAAGCCAAUCUAAUAAAUCACCUUUUAGU